CAUGAAGCUUGUCAGCAGAUGGAGGCAUGAAGUGCUCUGAAAUCUCCUGGUAGACGUUGCAUUGACUUUGGACUUAAUAAAACACUGACUCUGGGUGUUUGAUUCCCAAAUUAAAUGCUAAGUUUACCAUCAUCUGAAAAGAGGACUUUAGACAACUGAGCAGCAGACCAGAUCUUUUUCUCCUUAGCCCAGUUGAGUUUCCAGGCGUGCAGCAGAGUCAGGCAAACAAGCAGUGAGGAAAAAGCUCAGGAGAGGGAUGAGGAGGAGAUGGCUGGCUGCCUGGCUAAGCCGGCAGGAGAAGGAUUACGAUGGAGCAGCUUGGUCUGAAGGAGCGUGAGAGAGGCCAGCAGCUGGCCCAUGGGGCCCACAGAUGGAGCCUCUGGAUGGGGAGUGGAGGACCUGCUCAGGCAUUUCAGAUGGACUUAUGAUGACUCACAAGCCCCCAGCAUCCCAAACACCUACUCAGAGUCAUGAGACAGGCCUCUCCUGUCCUUGUUUACUGGUACACUAAAACAGGAGAAAGGCAAUCAUUAUCACAUCGACUUAUGACUCUCCUGUUCACUAUAUUAAUCGUUUGAUUACUUAUCCUGAUUACUCUGAUUAAAGCAUCUGUUUCAACUCGUA